rnacentral:rRNA from 1 species
UGGGGAAUUUUGGACAAUGGGCGCAAGCCUGAUCCAGCCAUGCCGCGUGCAGGAUGAAGGCCUUCGGGUUGUAAACUGCUUUUGUACGGAACGAAAGGGUGCCUUCUAAUAAAGGGCGCUCAUGACGGUACCGUAAGAAUAAGCACCGGCUAACUACGUGCCAGCAGCCGCGGUAAUACGUAGGGUGCGAGCGUUAAUCGGAAUUACUGGGCGUAAAGCGUGCGCAGGCGGUUUUGUAAGACAGAGGUGAAAUCCCCGGGCUCAACCUGGGAACUGCCUUUGUGACUGCAAGGCUGGAGUGCGCCAGGGGGGGAUGGAAUUCCGCGUGUAGCAGUGAAAUGCGUAGAUAUGCGGAGGAACACCGAUGGCGAAGGCAAUCCCCUGGGCCCGCACUGACGCUCAUGCACGAAAGCGUGGGGAGCAAACA